GGUCGAGCAGGCCGGGCACCUCGACCACGUCGCUCGGGUCGACGUCGAGUUCGCGCAGCAGCAGUUCGAGCAUGCUCUCGGUCA
rnacentral:tRNA from 1 species